AACGAACGCUGGCGGCAUGCCUAACACAUGCAAGUCGAACGAGACCUUCGGGUCUAGUGGCGCACGGGUGCGUAACGCGUGGGAACCUGCCCUUAGGUUCGGAAUAACUCCCCGAAAGGGGUGCUAAUACCGGAUAAUGUCUUCGGACCAAAGAUUUAUCGCCUUUGGAUGGGCCCGCGUUGGAUUAGAUAGUUGGUAGGGUAAAAGCCUACCAAGGCGACGAUCCAUAGCUGGUCUGAGAGGAUGAUCAGCCACACUGGGACUGAGACACGGCCCAGACUACUACGGGAGGCAGCAGUGGGGAAUAUUGGACAAUGGGCGAAAGCCUGAUCCGGCAAUGCCGCGUGAGUGAUGAAGGCCUUAGGGUUGUAAAGCUCUUUUACCCGGGAUGAUAAUGACAGUACCGGGAGAAUAAGCUCCGGCUAACUCCGUG
rnacentral:rRNA from 1 species